GGACCCGCACAAGCGGUGGAGCAUGUGGUUUAAUUCGAUGCAACGCAGAAAAACCUUACCUACUCUUGACAUACUUGGGAGCUCUUGUAAUGAGAGUGUGCCUUUUGGAACCAAGAUACAGGUGCUGCAUGGCUGUCGUCAGCUCGUGUCGUGAGAUGUUCCGUUAAGUCGGAUAACGAGCGCAACCCUUACCCUUAUUUGCCAGCAUUCGGUCGGGAACUAUAAGGGGAUGCCGGUGAUAAAACCGGAGGAAGGUGAGGACGACGUCAAGUAUCAUGGCCCUUACGAGUAGGGCUACACACGUGCUACAAUGGGGAAUACAGACGGACGCUAAGCCGCGAGGUGGUGCUAAA
rnacentral:rRNA from 1 species